rnacentral:misc_RNA from 1 species
GAAAGUCAGAAAAAUGUAAGCGCAUUUACCCUGUUUAUAAUCUAUUCAAUUUUGGGCAGAAUUUUUCGAUUUUGUGGUGUUUGGAGUAAUGGGUGGCUCAAUUUGUUGUUUGUUUCAAUUUUGAGCGAAAAUUUUGGAUUGAAUAGCUAGCUUUUGUGGAUUUAUUUAUUUUACUUUCUAGUAAUGAUUUUGAUUUACGAAGCCGGAGUUUGUUUGAUAUCUCAG